rnacentral:lncRNA from 1 species
CUGGAAUUCAGACUCCGGCGGAAGGAAAAAGACCCGGAGUACCACGCCCAUGCUGGCAAAGCGUAGCGGAAAGUCGUCGGAGUUUGACGCGGAGGUUCAGACGCUGAGCUCUAUUAGGCAUGUGAACGUGGUGAAGCUGUACUGUAGCAUUACGAGUGAGGAUUCAAGCCUAUUGGUGUACGAGUAUCUACCAAAUGGGAGUCUGUGGGAUCGUCUCCACACUUCCAGGAAGAUGGAGCUUGAUUGGGAGACAAGGUACGAGAUUGCAUUGGGGGCUGCCAAAGGAUUAGAAUAUCUACACCAUAGCUGUGAAAGGCCUGUGAUUCAUAGGGAUGUCAAGUCUAGUAACAUUCUGUUGGAUGAGUUUUUGAAGCCUAGAAUUGCUGAUUUUGGGCUCGCCAAAAUCGUUCAAGCUAAUGGUGGUGGUAAGGACUCCACCCAUGUCAUUGCUGGAACCCACGGCUACAUCGCUCCUGGUGAGUGUUUUUCCUUUCUAUUCUGUUUAUAUUUCUUUCCUGUGUUUGGUUGCUAGGAGAAUUAGUCACUUGCACUUGCAACUAGAUAAGAUUAGAAUGGUGGUAGUAAGCUUUCUUUUCCUUCUUGAUUUUGAACUAAUUUUUGGUUGGUUAUUAAUUAUGCAGAGUAUGGUUACACAUAUAAAGUAAAUGAGAAGAGUGAUGUAUACAGUUUUGGAGUUGUUUUAAUGGAGCUGGUGACUGGGAAAAGGCCAAUUGAGCCUGACUAUGGAGAGAACAGGGACAUAGUGAGCUGGGUGUGCAGCAACAUCAAGACUAGAGAGAGUGUGCUAAGUAUCGUAGAUUCAAGAAUUCCAGAAGCACUCAAGGAAGAUGCAGUGAAGGUAUUGAGAAUUGCAAUUCUCUGUACGGCAAGGCUUCCAGCGCUGAGACCUACAAUGAGGGGCGUGGUUCAAAUGAUAGAAGAAGCAGAGCCUUGUAGACUGGUUGGCAUCAUUGUCAAUAAGGACGGUGUUACUAAGAAAAUGGAAGGCAAAACAGAGAAAUUCAAUCCAAGCCCCUAACUGUUUCUGAUAUGGGUCAGUUAGUGGAGAUGAAGUCCUUCGGGUUCAAGUUUCAACUCAGGGAAAAUGAUCUGCUGCCCUGUUGUAUCAGGUAGCAUUAUGUAAAAUUUAGGAUGUGAGGUCACUUGUAAAAUAUUUGGCUAGAGACUCUAGUAUAAUCUUUGUUGUUUGAGAAGAAAAAACUAGAGUUGGUGGACCUCUUUUUCUUUCUCUUUUGUAUUAAUAAGAGGAAUCGGUGGAAGGAAAUGCCAAUAACCUAUGGAUCUUGUGUUCUCUGUAACUAAGAUGAUGCAUGUGUAUCUUGCACCGGAUAGAGAAUCAAGGUGGUAGCUUUCCAAAAGAAACAUGGUCAAUGAAACAGAGAAUCUUCUUUUGUCAAGGGAAUUUAAAUCUUAAGUUCUACCAGAUUGGAGUCAUUAUUUGUUGACAGAUUCAAAACCUCAUCUCUCAAUAUAUUCAUGCUUCUUUGACUAAACUGAAUGGUGAAUUUCUCGUACAAACACGGGCAACUGAACAUUACGGCCACGUUUGGUGUUUGGUUCUUGUAGAACAUGAACUAAAGAAAAUGGAGAAAAAAAAUAAUAAUAAAGAAAAAUAAUUUAUUUUAAAGUCAUUAAAUUAUUUAUAUAUACUUUUUCAAAUUCAUUUAACCUGCUUUGAUUUUUUUUAUGUAAAAAUUAAAUAAUUUAUAAGAAGGUCAUUGGUUAAGGUGCGAUCAACACUUGUGAAGUCCACAUGCAGAUAUUGGUCAAGCUUCAAAAGAUGUGGAGUGAAACUGUUCACUGACAGAGGGAAUUCUGGUUAGCAGGGCACAAAAGUGGGUGCUACUGUUUUGAAGCUCAGACAUGUCUGUUAUGAUGAUAGUAUACUUGAGAGGAUAGGUAGGACUUGGGGCUUCGGACUUCGGACUUCGGACUUAUGAGUAGUCACCUUCUCCAACUUUCUAUCCCGGGAUUAUUUUGAUUUUCUUCUUUUCGAGGAGGGGAAAAGCGAACAAGAAAAAAGAUUGCAUAUAAGACACGUAGGGAUGCAGAAUACAGCUUUUAUGCACCAGGAAACUUCUGUGUGAGGGCGUCGCCCGGCCCAUGGUCCUCCCAAUGAUUCAAUAUUUGUCUAAAGUAUUAUCUAGGCCAAUGUAAUAUAUGUGAGAGUUUGGUAAGUAAAUUUUUAAUUUAUUAUUUUAAGUUAAUUUUGAAUUUAAAUAAUAUUUUAAAAUUAUUUUAGCAGAUGUACUUAAUAUAUUUAAUUUAAUGGUUUAAAUUAACUUGUUAUAUCAGUUCCCUAACGCCCCUUAAUUGUGUUCUGAAACCAACUAAUGGGUUGGGCUGGGUUUAAGUAAUUUGAGCUUGGAAAAUUGAACCGCUGUCUCUAGCUCACACUUCAAUGGGGAAAUUGGGUUUGGUUUAAGAACCUAGACAGAUUAACUGGAAGCCCAUUAUGAAACCUACUGUCACUAAGGGUGUAAAGCAGAGCCUUUCUGCAGAGGCCAGUGAACCGGGCUUUGAGAAUUCUUGAAGCUCCGAGAGGCCUCAAAGCAGUGUUGGGGGAGGUUUCAAAUCUUGGGCCCAUUUUUAGGCCUCAGCUCCUAGUAACCCACAAUUUCUUUCAAGAUGAUAGGCAGAUCUGAAUAUAUUCCAAGGUAAGGCAAAUCAGUAGUCUAUUUUCUUUGGGUUGAGUGAAUACAAGUAGAACUCCUUGCAGUUACAAAGCCAAGGAAGUAAUUGACAAAUCCAAGUGUCCAUAAAGCAAACCGUGUGUUCAGAUCCUUUAUAUUUGGUAAAACCCGCUUAGAAUAACUUCCGGUGAUGAGCACGUCAUCCACAUAUACUAGUAGCAAAACAACUUGGUCACCAGUUUAAUGUACAUACAAUGAGGCAUCAACUUGAGUUAAUCAAACCUCUCUGGAAGCUUGUUUUAGGCCAUAGAGGGCCUCAUUCAGCUUACAAACAUGGGUUGAUUUAGUAGGAUCUUCAAAUCCUUCUGCUCGAGCCAUAUACAUAAUAACCUCUCGCAAUUCACAAUUCAACAAGGCAUUGUUUAUAUCAAUUGGUUGCAUAUCUCAAUUUGAAGUAACAGCUAGCGUGAAAAUCACUUUAAUGGUAGAUGAUUUGACCAUUAGACGAAAAGUCUCCAAGUAGUUAACCCUUGCUGUUUACUGAAAUCCCUUAGCCAUUCCUUGCCUUGAUAUAUAUAUAUAUAUAUCUUUGGAUUGAGGCAUCAGGGUUGUAUUUGAAUCUCUACACCCAUUUGUUUCCAAGUAAACUCAUCUCAGAGGCUUGUGGUACAAGAAUCCAUGUAUGAUUAUGUAUAAAAGCUUGAUACUUUUCCUCCAUGACAGUUUCCCAUUUAGGAAUGGCCAGAGCCUCAGUAGCACCUAAAGGUUCUGUUGUCACAAAUUCUCCAAUAUUGGUUUGUGAUUUAAUGGUUUAAGCUGAAAAGGCUGAAGGUUUUCUGAUACCAGCUUUAGGUCUCUAUCAUGGGAUGAAUGUUUAGGGGAUUAUUAGGUGGCAAGAGAGGUUGAUCAAUGUGUGAGUCAACUGAAUGAGGUGAAUCAGUCAACAGUAUAGGUAAUAAAAAGUUAAUCUGCUGAGAAUUGAUGCUCAAAAAAGUAACAACUCUAAGAGAACUAGUUGCCACAUUAUGUUGAGAAUUGAUGCUCAAAUCAGGAACAAUUAUAGGAGAACUAGUUACUGUAUUGGGUACUUGUAGAUGAUUCAUGUCAGAUUUAUCAGACACAUUUUGGUUAGGAAGAGGUAAUGGGUAUGGAAGGAACAAACCAUUUAGAAGUGUUAUACAGAGAGGAUGAAUUUGAAGCAAAAUCUAAAGCAGGACUAGCAACAGAUUUGGUACUUGGAAAGCCAUGUUCAAAAGGAAAUUCAAAUUCAUUGAUGUUGUUAACAGAACUAACAAUGUGAAUUCUUCUAUCUGGAUCCAAACACCUAUAAGCUUUAUGAUUUAGACUAGUCCAGAAAGAGAAGCACAACCAAAGGGUUAUUUUACAAACCGAUAAUCAGGUUUAUGGCCAGAAAGUUUCUCAAAAGGUGACAAAUGUUCAAGUAGAGAUGUUGGAAGUCUAUUUACCAAAUAAACUGCAGUUGUAAAUGAAUCCCACCAAAAUUUGAAAGGUAGUUAUGGAUUGAGCUAGGAGGGAAAGACCAUUUUCAAUAUUGUCUAUGCUUUCUCUCAGGUUUUCCAUUUUGUUGAUGGGUGUAUGGACAAGGAUGUCUAAAAGUCAUACAAGUUUAAUUAAAGAAAGGGAAUACGAACUAUAUACUCUCUUCCCCAAUCAGUGUGCGAGGUUUUGAUUUUUUUUCUUUUGUCAAACAUUCUCUCAACUAGAGCUUGAAACUGAAGGAAAACAUUUAUGGAUUCAGAUUUGGCUUUCAAGGGAUACAUCAAAGUGUAAUUGCCUAGUUGGUAUAAUCAUCCACAAAAUGAAUAUAAUAUCUAUAGCAUGAAGUUGAUAGCAAAGGUGCAGGUCCCUAUUUGUCAGAAAAUAUAGAUUCAAGAGGAUAUUUGGAUUUGCUAGAUGUAGUAGGAAACUGUGAGUGUUUAGUUAGGUUGCCAAUUUUGGAUCCUAACUCGAUUUUUCCAAUCCUUCUACGGACUACUUGGCUAAUGGAUAUCAAUUUGUUGAAUUUGUCAAGAGACCAAGGUUUGUAGUUGAGUUUGGAGGAGGAUGGAUUUGAAUCAACCUUUGUAUUUAAAUGUUGUUUUUUCUUGAAAUUUUUUUUUAAGGAGUUAGGAAGGUUUAGGAAGCAUUUUUUUACUAAGUGUUCAAAAUGCUUUCUUCGAGGAUUGAUCCAGCUUUAGGUUGGAUCAAUCCAACUUACACUUUUUUUUUAUGAAAUCUCUUAUAUUGGAUUAAGGGUUUCCUUCAUUUAAAAACCUGAAACUUGUUUCCUGUGUUGUAGAGAGAGACAUAACAACACUCAUCCCUUUUGAUUUUCUUCUCAUUUCCCAUUUUAGGGUGUUUUGUUGCAAAAAAAAUCCAACUUUCCUAUUGUUUUUCAAAAUUGUUUUCAAUGGAUUUUCUUGAGGAAAAAAUGGGUUGAUUCAUUUCUUCAUUCAUCUCUCAAUUUCUAAUCAUUUGGAUUUGAGUAAAAACUCAUUUUCUUCUUAUGUGGAUUCAAGAAGAAGUCGAGAUCGAGUUUGGUGUGGACUUUAAGUGUGCUCCAGAGGAAGAUGAGAAGAUGAAAGUGAAAAGUACUAGUAAAGUGGUUCAGGAAGAAUUGGUAGACUUGAUUUAGGUAAAACCUAGUAUUCAAUUUUUAUUCUUCAUAGUGGAUGUUUUCGAUCGACUGUAGGCUCGUGGUUUUUUUUUUUUUUAAUCUCUUUAAAGGUUUUUCACGUUAAAAUUUUGUGUUAUUAUCUCUUUCUCUCAUUUUGUACUCUUUGAUUUAUUUUUAGUUUAUGAUAUGUUAAAUAAAAGAAAAAUGAGUUGAAAUAGGUGUAAUUAUCCAUUGAAUAUCUUGAAUAAUUUUUCUAUUCAUUUUGGUUAAUGAUAUUUUGUAGGAAUUAGAAAUGAGCUAAAAAGAGAAUUAUUCUUAUGAAUUAAUUUUGAGGAGUGUUAAAACAUUUACAUGUGAAUUGCAUUUAUAAAUUGUUGGGAGAGUGUUAUUGCGUUCACACUUACUUAUAAAUUGGAAGAGAAGUUUAUUGACUUCUAAGAUUAGGUAAUUUUUGUUGAAAGAUUUUAAAAAAUUGUUCAACAACGCCUAUUCAACCCCGCCACCCAAGAGUUUAACAUUUGUCUAAUCACUUGAAUUGAAAAGAUGCCCAUUUGUGCCACAAAUCAGGUCAACUGAAUCAUAAGUAGAAGAGGUAAUAGAAUAAGCAUUCUUUUUGUAACCAAAAGAAUCAGAAUUAAAACAACUCAUAUUUAUUUUAUUCCAGACUAACUUGACUAAGUUGAUAUGAACUUAAAAGCAUCAAUUAUCUUUUAUAUGGAAGUGAAAUGAGUUUAAAAUAAUUUUUAAAAAUAAUUUAUUGUUCUAAAUCUAGUUUUUAUUUUAUUUUUUCACUUUUCAUUUUCUUCUAUUUUUUUUUUUUUAACUUCUUUUCCUCGUAUUUUCUUUUAAAUCUUCCAAAAGCCAAACAUAACUUAAGCCAAUCUUGAAAAUUUUGGGCAACAGAGAAUAUUUUUUAGGUAUAAUUUUUAUGGUGAUUGUGCCUUAUAUGUGAAUGUUUAGAAUUAAUCACAACAAUACCAACAGGUGCUAUCCAAUUUUGUAGGAACAAUUUUUCUAGCAUAUUCCAAAACCUCAAAAGAACUCGAACAAUUCAGUGCAUGCCCAUACAUGGAUUCUGAAAUUGAAUUCAACAACCAACUGUCAAAUCCAACCUGUAUACUGUAGACUCCGCACAUUGCCAGUAUCGAGUUUUCAUCAAUAAUAUUUGAAUCGAUUAGUCAAACUGGACAGGUCUUUUAAUUCCCGGCAACAAAUCUUCAAGGUCAUGAGCUCUAACUGCAGGCAACACUUGUGACCUUUAGAAACCAUAAUUGUUUUGAUCUAGUUUGAUUGAGAUGGAGCCUCUUGAGGCAGCAUAUCUGCUGAUGGAAGCCAUUGACGAUUAGUCAAGAAGCUCAUACCAACAGAGAAAUCAAGUGAUUGGAUUGACUAUCAGUUUCUGGUGAUGGAAGCCAUUAACAAUUCUACACUUGAUUUACAAUGUGAAACUCAUCCCCUUCUCAAAAGUAACUAAGAUAACAAGAUAAGGUCCUGAGAUGCCACUAGGCCAAUAGGAGUUGUCUUCUUUGUUUCCACUUUGAAUAUGCCCUUUCCAUUGAAAUCGCAUAUUAUCAUCAAUUCUUUGAACAACUCUCUCUCUCUCUCUCUCUCCCUCCCUCCCUCUCUAUUAUAGAUAUAAAAGAAAGUUUUAAUAGUAGGAUCUCCACCAUGUCACCAACUCCAGUAUGGAAUACUUGUUUAAUUUUACAAGUAUUAUAUUCCAAAUUGUAAUUAUGGAUUGACUCUCUAAAGCAAAUCCAUAUUCUCUUCUUUUACACGGAAUACAAAAAAGGAGAAAUGCAAGGGAAUUGACAUGCUAUAAUGCGCUGUGAUGCGGCAAACCAGGCGGGUUAAAGGCGUCUUUACCAUCCUCAAAUUUCAUUUUCUAAUUUUGUUGUUACAUCUCAUGGAAAUAGGCCAUCCUCAUCCUGAUGAAGCAAUGGCUGUCAAUCAAGCUUUGGGCAAAAGCAUCCUAUCUCUCAGAAUCUGUUGCUUUUGCUAAUGUGAGAUGAUAGGUCGUGCGCAUUUUAGCACAACCAAAAGAAGUUUGUCGGUAAAAAGCAAGUAAUAAGGGAUUACCACGUCGGAUUUCAUCAAUGGCAUGGGGGCGUGGAGACUGGAGACUGGAGAGUGGGCAUCUUUUCUUUGCACUUGCAUCACUAUCAUUCAGAAUUGAGGACCCCUAUCCACUUCAUUCUUCAGAUUCCCAUUCUUGGGCUCAUUUUCCCCCUUUUCCUCACCACUAAGGCCCAUCAGGCCCAUUAGCUUGGUGGGACCCUGUACUUCACACUAUCAACCCCCAGUCGCCAACCAAGUCCUCUAUACGAUUACCAAGGUGUAUGCUUCCGUACAUGUGGUACAGAAGCAUGUAGCUGUAUGUCCCAAUUCCUAACAGCAUACCAGGUUUAUCUGGUUGGCUGCGGGCCUGCGAAUGUGUUUGGCUUCACCAAAUUCUGGAUCAACUUCAGCAAAUAGUGUGAUAGAGUUAAGAGAGUGAGACAAAUUUGUCACUUUCUUUGGGCAAAAACUCAUAAAUUUGUAUAUAUGUAAUUGUUUGUCUCAUGUUCUGAGCUGGACCCAGAGAAGCUACAAACGAUUGGAAGUCACAAACUUUCUUCAAAAACCAAUAAUAAUAAAAGACAAAUCAUAGACAUUACUGGAGGGCUAACCUAGUAUCAUAAUCACUGUGGUUGAAUGGGGAACAACAUAGAAUCAAAAAAGUGAGAUUGCAAACUAAUUAUACGUGGUCAAAAACCUUAGAGAGAGAAAUAUUAGAGUCAUGGUCUGCUGAAACCAAAUCAAUUAACGAUCCAGAAAGCCUCAUGUGGGUUGUAAUCAUCCGAGUUCCAAUGGAAAGAGAAUUUCACAUAUUGAUGAGAGGAUUUCAGAGUCAUGGUCUGCUGAAACCAAAUCAAGUAACGAUCCAGAAAGCCUCAUGUGGGUUGUAAUCAUCCGAGUUCUAAUGGAAAGAGAAUUUCACAUAUUGAUGAGAGGAUGGUGUAUUAGGAUCGGAUGCAGUUUAAUAAACAUCUUAUCGGUAUAAAGGGUUGAGGUUAUUCUCUACGUGGGUGAGUGGGUAUAAACAUAAAGCCUCUUUAUGCAAAGAUAUGCACCUCUCUAUCACAAUACCACUGCACGGACCUCCUUUUUCAUCAUCACGGUUUAUUACUGCUGCACCCAAUGAUCCCCUCAAUCAUCAUGUUUAUAUACCGCUUUUCUUCUUCACCCCCUCCUCUGCAAUAACCACCUUAACAACAGCCUCUCUCUCUCUCUCUCUCUCUCUCUCUCCGAUGGCUCUUUCUUGUAUUUUCUUCCUUUUUGUGUCACUUGUGUUUCUCUCCAUGCCCUCACAAGCCAGCAUAACUAACCAGUCUCACUUCUUCACUCUAAUGAAGAACUCUCUCUCUGGGAACUCCUUGUCUGAUUGGGAUGUAACAGGAAAAACGUCUUACUGUAACUAUAGUGGAGUGAGCUGCAACGAUGAAGGGUAUGUUGAAGUGAUUGACAUCUCUGGGUGGUCACUUUCUGGCCGUUUUCCACCAGACGUAUGCUCUUACCUGCCCCAGCUGCGGGUUCUUCGUCUCAGCUACAACGACCUUCAUGACAAUUUUCCAGAGGGCAUUGUCAACUGCUCUCUCCUGGAAGAGCUUGAUAUGAAUGGUUCACAAGUCAUUGGGACGCUGCCGGACCUGUCGCCAAUGAAAUCUCUCCGGAUACUGGACCUGUCAUACAACCUCUUCACAGGCGAGUUCCCUUUGUCCAUAACCAACCUCACCAAUCUUGAACAUAUACGCUUCAACGAAAAUGAGGGUUUCAACCUAUGGUCACUGCCAGAGGAUAUUUCCAGGUUGACAAAGCUCAAGAGUAUGAUCUUGACAACAUGCAUGGUACACGGCCAGAUACCACCGUCCAUAGGGAACAUGACAUCCCUGGUUGAUCUUCAGCUGAGUGGGAACUUCCUCAACGGUCAGAUUCCAGCAGAGCUUGGAUUGCUGAAGAACUUGCGACUGCUUGAGCUUUAUUACAACCAGAUUGCUGGUAGAAUACCCGAGGAGUUGGGGAAUCUGACGGAGCUCAACGAUUUAGAUAUGUCAGUGAACCGGUUGACUGGAAAAAUUCCGGAAUCCAUAUGUAAAUUGCCCAAGCUCCGGGUCCUGCAGUUUUACAAUAACAGCCUUACUGGAGAAAUUCCGGAGGCAAUUGGUAACUCAACAGCCUUGGCCAUGUUAUCAAUUUACGACAACUUCCUGACAGGAGGAGUUCCAAGAAGUCUGGGACAAUGGUCGCCUAUGAUUCUUUUAGACUUGUCAGAAAACCAUCUAUCUGGUGAAUUGCCGACAGAGGUCUGCAAGGGAGGUAACCUGCUCUAUUUUCUUGUCCUGGAUAAUAUGUUUUCUGGAAAGUUACCUGAGAACUAUGCAAAAUGCGAGUCUCUUUUACGGUUUAGAGUGAGCAAUAACCGUUUGGAGGGUCCAAUCCCCGAGGGGCUUCUUGGUCUUCCCCGCGUUUCAAUCCUUGAUUUAGGUUUCAACAAUUUGAAUGGUCAAAUUGGCAAAACAAUUGGAACUGCUAGAAACUUGUCAGAAUUGUUCAUUCAGAGCAACAGGAUUUCUGGUGCUCUACCCCCUGAAAUAUCUCAAGCUACCAAUUUGGUGAAGAUUGAUCUCAGUAACAAUCUCUUGUCUGGUCCAAUACCUUCAGAAAUUGGAAAUCUAAAUAAGCUAAAUCUUUUGCUGUUGCAAGGCAACAAGUUCAAUUCUGCCAUUCCCAAGUCACUAUCUUCAUUGAAAUCUGUAAAUGUCCUUGAUCUCUCCAACAAUCGCUUGACAGGGAAAAUCCCAGAAAGCCUCUCUGAAUUGUUGCCAAACUCCAUCAACUUUACAAACAACCUGCUUUCUGGUCCAAUUCCUCUCUCACUGAUACAAGGAGGGUUGGCAGAAAGCUUUUCAGGCAACCCACAUCUCUGUGUUUCGGUCUAUGUUAAUUCCUCAGAUUCGAAUUUCCCCAUAUGUUCUCAAACCGACAACCGAAAGAAGCUAAAUUGUAUCUGGGUCAUUGGGGCUUCUUCAGUGAUUGUUAUUGUUGGAGUUGUCUUGUUUCUAAAGCGUUGGUUCAGCAAACAAAGAGCUGUGAUGGAACAUGAUGAGAACAUGUCUUCAUCAUUCUUCUCUUAUGCCGUAAAGAGCUUUCAUCGAAUCAAUUUUGAUCCACGUGAGAUCAUUGAGGCCUUGAUUGAUAAGAACAUAGUCGGGCACGGAGGAUCUGGCACAGUGUACAAAAUUGAACUGAGCAAUGGGGAAGUUGUCGCUGUGAAGAAGCUGUGGAGUCAAAAAACAAAAGAUUCUGCUUCAGAGGAUCAGCUGUUUUUAGUCAAAGAAUUAAAAACCGAAGUCGAGACUCUAGGAAGCAUAAGGCACAAAAACAUUGUCAAGUUGUAUAGCUGCUUCUCAAGUUCGGAUAGCAGCUUGUUGGUAUAUGAGUACAUGCCCAAUGGAAACCUUUGGGAUGCCCUUCACAGAGGAAGGACCCUUUUGGAUUGGCCCAUUCGUCAUCGGAUUGCUCUAGGGAUUGCACAGGGUUUGGCCUAUCUUCAUCAUGAUCUGUUGCCACCUAUAAUUCACAGAGAUAUCAAGUCAACCAACAUUCUCCUGGAUAUCAAUUACCAACCCAAAGUUGCAGACUUCGGCAUAGCCAAGGUCUUGCAAGCAAGAGGGAAAGAUUUCACUACUACUGUUAUUGCAGGGACUUAUGGUUACUUGGCCCCAGGUAUUAUCCUCAUCCAACUUUAUUUUUCCAUUAUGGCACCAUUUUGACAGCACAAAUUAAUUUUACUGGUAGAGCCAGAAUUGUUGAAUUCAUUUUUGUUAAUGGUUGUGACAGAAUAUGCAUAUUCAUCCAAGGCGACCACCAAGUGUGACGUGUACAGUUUUGGAGUAGUACUCAUGGAACUAAUAACUGGGAAGAAGCCAGUAGAGGCAGAGUUUGGGGAGAACAAGAAUAUCAUAUAUUGGGUUGCAACCAAAGUGGGUACGAUGGAAGGAGCUAUGGAGGUUCUAGACAAGCGCUUAUCAGGGUCCUUCAGAGACGAGAUGCUUCAGAUGCUGCGGAUUGGCCUCCGCUGCACGAGUAGCAGCCCGGCCCUUCGCCCAACUAUGAAUGAGGUUGCCCAGUUGUUGACUGAGGCGGACCCAUGCAGAGUCGAUUCUUGCAAGUUGUCAUGCAAGACCAAAGAGACGUCCAAUGUCACCAAGACAAAGAACCCAUUUGAAUUAUGAUUACAGGGGCUUCGUAAUGGUAGAGUUGAAGUGAAGUUGUAUAGUAUAGCUAGCAUCACUAGGAUAUAUACCGCUCCUUCUCAUACUAAUGAGAGGCUUUUCUUGGAGUAACCUUUUGCCUUUUGCCUUCUUUUAUUUAUCUCCUUUCAAGGCUCGGAUUGAAAGUAGAAGCAGAAGCGAGGAAAAUGCUGAAAAUGACUCAGAAGCUAUUUUCAACACUAAAACUUCUGAAAAUUACUCAGGAAUAAACUUUUUCUCUCAAGUUAUUUUCACCAUUUUCCUUUCCUUUUCUUCAGCUUAACAAAGUGUUCAUAUGUAUCUCUCCUAAUUACUAGUAUACAUCUUUUAUUUGCUCUCGUGAUGAUUUUAUAAUUAUAAUCACUACAAACUGCUUAAGGGCAACGCACGGCAUCUAUAUUUUUCAUAGACCCACAAGAUGAAAUCAUUAUCCAUCCUUUGAGAAAUCUUUUUUUUUUCUCUCUCUCUCUUUCUCCUUUUAUCUUUCCUCUUCAUUUCACGAGAGUGAUCCAAAGUAAAGACACUCCAAAAAAGGGCAGAGAUGUUGGUGAAGAGUGGAGGGUUGCGAUUUGCAAGGGGCUUCCUUUUGCGUGGAAGUGGGUUCCUGAUUCUGAAUUUAAAAUGUAUGCGUGAUUCGUUGGAUGGCCCCGCAUCGUCUAAGCUAUCCAUUGGAAAAGAUGAAUGGGCCUGUUUGAUUGAUGAGCUUCCUUGUCUUCAUUCAGGUGAGGGACACACUAAAGCAAGCAGAAGCAGAAGCAGAAGCCUUUUCCUUUUUUAAUGUUUCUUCUUUUUCUAUGUGAGCUUGAUUGUUUUGUUGGAAAGGAAGGACCAAGCUUCUUUUCUUCACCGUAGAUAGUGAGCCAUGAAACACCACUUGGAUGAUGGAACAACCCCUUUUUAGACAUGAUGCUUCCAUUUCUUCUGAAUUAAUAUAUAGCUCUACACUGCCUAUGAAAUAGCUAGAUCACUCAGUGAUUCAGUAGACAACAUCGAAUUCAACUAGUAGUAAGUAAUCAAUUUGUGGGUAUUUUCGGCCAUAUUCCAACACCAAAUUGUGACAAGCAUAAAACAUGAGAAUGCGCACACGUGUUUACGCCCUUGUGUGCAGAAAUGCGUCUGAAUCCAACUCCGUGAGUGGCAGAUGGGGUCCUCCUUCUCUCAGGGGAAUAAGAUUCAUAAGACUCAAAUAUUUCUUUUAGCAUGGUGGAGAGCCCAUAAAUAAAAAGCGAGAAACUUUCAUCAAAGAUAGUGCUUCAAGAAAAGGAAAAAAGAAACAAAAAAGAUAGAAAAAAAUGAAGACAGACUAGCAUGACAAGCAAUGCUUUCAGAAGAAGUUUCUUCCUGCAUGUCCAAGAAGCAAAAAAAAUCCAUUCACUAGCAUAAAGCAGAUGUAGGCCAUAUUUUCUAAAAUCUAUUAUCAAAUUUGUUUUACUUUCCUAAUCACUGAGACUCAUGAAAAUUCUUCGUUCAAGUACAAAGUCCCAGCAGUUCAAGUCAAGACAAACUGCUCAAAGACGCUGUCCCACCACUUGGGUUUUGAGGAUGACGGUUUAGUAGUAAAUUAGUAAUUGUGGGGUCAAAAGUUGACGAGCCGAACUUCAAUCCAUAGUGCACUAAAAAAAUGUACAGGCCAUGAAUACCAAGUAGAACAUAGUAAGAUAGUGCGAGUAUUAUACCCCAGAAUGGUGGUGCAUGCUCCCUAGUUGGGGUGGUUUUAAAAGGGUUGGUGAAGGUACUGCAAACAUUCCACUGCCUGAAGUGACAAUUCAUAGUGAAAUGGCAAUAGUUUUGCCAAUCUGAAAGACACACAACCACAACAAUAACUACUGGUUCGACUACUAGUAACGCACCGAAUAAAAUUGCAGAUCCGCAAGUGCAAUUUUUUUAUUUUUUGUCUGCAAUGAUUGUGUGAUGCAUUGGAGGGUAGUGGUGCACCCACGCUGAGGUGGUUUUUAGGGAGUUGAGUAUGCAUUUAUGUAAUUUCCCAAACAGUUGACGUGCAUGCCGCUUGACCAAAUUUAUUAUUUCAAUUAUUAUAGUUCAAAAUUCAUUUCAUAUUUCUUCUACCGCUGUUUACUUUAAAACAAAACCCAUAAGAUAGGAGUGGUGCAUCCCCCCACCCCCUCUCGUUUUUUGGGCCUGAAAGUAGCAGUUAUUCAUCACCUGAACCCUCUGCAGAGCUCCCACUCCCCAUGAGGUGGGAGUAGGGAGUGGUGGGUGGCUGAUGAGUUCAACUUCAACCCUUGCGUAGGGGCUUUGAUGGGCUUGGCCCAAGUUUACAAAUCACUUGACUGAUGACGCAAAUGCACAAUAUCACACACAAACCCAUGUCAGUUGACGCCUUUCCCAGAUGUGGCAGCUAAUGCCUAAACCUCUAAUGUCUAGAGAUUUACACAUUGAAAAUAUUAAUGCGUCGAAAUCAAGAAAGCUACCGUCACAAGCAUCAAGCAUCAAGCAUCACCUUCCGGGAUUUGCAAUGUCAUUCUGUCAAUCACAUCGAGAUUCAAAUCCAAUUGUCCCUCCCUUGUUUCCUCCUUUGCUUUAUAACUCCUUCUCCACCCGAGGUCUCGGAACACUGCCAGCUAUCAGCUUGCUAGUCUUCUUCAAUUUCCCAAUACUCUCUCCCAAUCCCAUAUGCCUAUCCCAGGAGUAUGAAAUAUCUUCUUCUCAUUUUUAUAAUUAGCUUAUUAAAGAAAUAGGUGGUGCAGUGAAAGAAGGGGAGUAUCCCAGCGGGCAUAUGAAGUCUUUGAAAAUCCUAUUUAAGCAAAUGCCGCUUUCCGGUUAGGGCUUAUUAAAGCAUAGGAGGAGUGAAUGAGGUAGAGACAUCCCAUUCCCAUGUCAUUGAAAAAGUUGGGACCCCCCAUUCCGUGGUUGAACCAACCACAAGAAGUGACAAAGGGAAAAAUCUUUUGGCAAAUGGCCAAACCCAAAAAUUCUUCCUCUUAACCUACACAAUAAAUUUGUUAAUGAAAAACCAAAGACAUAUAUUUUAGUUAAAAAAAUAUUAGCUUCAAUUUGUUUUGAAAAACAUUUUUUAGUUUUAGUUUUUAUUUUUUUAAAAGCAGAUGAUCUUUUUUUCUUUUUUCUUUUUUUUUUGAAAAUAUAUUUGACAGUAAUUUUUUUUUCAAAAUAAAAUCUAUAAAAUGUAUCGUGUUUUUAUCAUAUAAAAAAUGUUAAAAAUAAAUGUAAUUGAAUUUUAUAUUAUAUGCAUGUGAUAUUUUAUGAGAUAUAUUAUGUAUAUACAUUAUUUUUUAUACGCUAUAUAUCUUAUUAAAUCUAAGAUUAUUAUUAGAGAUUAAAUUAUGCAAUUGUGGUAAAAUAGAUUAAGACCCAUAAGAGGAACACUUAUCAAAAGAGUAUUAAGUUGAAAAGAAUAAAGACAUUUUAUAAUAAUAACAAGAAGAAGGGUAAAUUUCAACAACAUGACAACUUAUUUAAUUAAAUCCAUCUUAGCAAGGAUCUUGACAUGAAGUUUUAAGAAAAUGUUGACAUGAAAUUUCACCUAUCUAAAAACGUUGUUGGAGGCAAGCCUCAAUGUCAAGUUUGUAAGAAAUUUAGAUAUGAAGCUUUGAAUUGUUGGCAUCACUUUGAUUACAACUAUUGCUCCCUAAAAAAUUCACAAAAAUGAUUGCUCUUCUUGCAAUUCUAAACAUUGUAGCUAACAAUUCUUGAUAUAUAGACAUAGGUGCUACUCAUUCCAUUACUCUUUAUCUAUCCAACUUGAACAACACUAGUCAUUUUCUUGGCAUAAGCAAGGUUUUAGUUGGCAAAGCUCUAGAUAUUUCCAAUAUUAGCCAAUUUAUCAUUCCUUUUUAAUUUUGUCCUAUUAUCAUAUAUAAAGUUUUAUUUAUUCCACAAAUCUCCAAAAAUACGUUAUUGUUAGUAGAUUUUUAAUGACAAUGAUUUUGUUGAAUUUUAUGUUGAUUUUUUCUUUGUUAAGGAUCUACUCUCAAAAUAGGUCCUUCUUCUAGGCAAACUUGAUCGAGGUCUUUACAAAGUCUCAUUAUAUUCAAUAACUUACGAUUCAGGUUUAUUGUUUUCCACUUCAAUCACUCUAUUUAUAUUUGUUAUUCAAAAUAAGAACUCUAAUUUUUGGCAUUAUCAUUUAAAUCACCAAGUUGAUCCCGUUGUCAACCAUGUUUUACAAUUUUGUAAUGAGUAACCUAUUUUUUUCAAUUUAGUUUGCAAAUCUUGUCAAAUGACCCAGAACUAUCAAUUAAACCCUUUAUUGAUUCUAAUUGUUAAUUAAUAAAACAAUUUUAUGUAGUGUAUGCUGAUUUAUAAUGUCUCUCUCUAAUAGAAUCUAUCUAUGGUGUUGACUAUUUCUUAUUAUUUAUUGAUGAUUAUACUCAUCUCUUAAAUCUAUUUAUUGUAAACUAAAAAUAAAGCUUUCACUCAUUUCUUACAUCUUCAAGUCAUGAUUAAAAAAUAAUACAACACUUUGAUCAAGUCUAACUAAUCUAAUCGGAGGCGUGAGUUUCAUGCUUUUAUAAAUUAUUUACUCACUCAUAGUAUUACUCACAAAGUUUCUUGCUUUUAUGCACUCCAACAAAAUGGUAGAGUUGAGAGAAAACGCCUUAAAGUCUUUGAUUACUCCUAAUUUACUUUUCUUAGGUCCUAUAAUCAACAUAAGUUACGAUUUUGGUCUAUUAGGUGUAUUUUCCCAUGCUAUAGCUCCAAACACGAGCUAUUUGUGUUUGGAUAUUAAUCUUUUGUGAACUCUACAUUUCCAAAUUUCUUAUCUUUGAUGAGCAAGUUUUACCAUUUGUUGAUUAUUCUCUUUCUUUAGUAUUUUCAUUAAUAUACCUUCAUUUGAUCCUCACUAGCUCCUUUCUUUCGACAAUCUAAUUUUAUUUUACCUACCAUUCUAGCUUCCAUUUACCUUAUCUACUUGGUUCAAAUCAUCCAUCCUAUUAUACUUCUACCUCACAACUAGCAAAUCUACCUAUAAUUUUCUUUUUUAAGUUAAUUAAUGCUAUGGUUACCCAUUUAAAAAAUAGUAAAGUAAGAGUAAACUUUGAGCUUUACUUAGUCCUACUAAUAUUUUUGUUUUUUAGUCUUAUACUCAUAAACAAGCUACAACAAUAUCAAUUGGGUUUUUGGCUAUGCAAGCUAAGUAAAAUGCAUUUUUUAUAAUGCUUUAUUCAAAAAACAAUACCUAGACUUUAGUCCCACAACCUCUCACUUAAGUGUAAAUGAGUUUCUAAGCUCAAAUAUAAACCUAAUGGUAGUAUUAAAGAUACAAAAUUCAUUUGGUAGCCAAGAGCUUUCAUAAAACUCAAUGAAUGACUACUUUGGACCUUCAACACGUUUGUUAAACCUCCCAACAUUCAAUUUAUUUUAACAUUGGCAUUAUCUAAGGGUUGUUUAAUUCUUUAAUUGGAUGUGCAAAAUGCAUAACUUAAUGUGGAUCUUGAUGAAGUUGUUUUCAUGUCACAAUCAUAGGGGUUUGAAUGCUCCAUCAAACCUCAUUAUAUUUGUUGAUUAGACAAAUCUCUUCAGGGCCUCAAAUAGCCCAUGAGGGCAUAGUUUACUAAGUUAAGCAGAUCUUGAUUGGAGCAGGGUUUUUAGACCUCUAAGUCAGAUUCUUUUAUGUUUUUUUUAUAAUAAUAGUAUGUUAUGAUUGUAUUACUUAUAUAUGUCAAUGAAAUUCUUAAAAUUGGUACUGAUUCAUUCUUAUGUAAUAACUUAUUACUAAUCUAAAUUCAAUUUUUUUAAAAAAAAGAUUUUGGUCUCCUCAAUUAUUUUUUGGGCAUUGAGGUGAGUUUAAGUGGUUCCUCCUUACAUUUGAAUUAAGUUAAAUACAUUCAUGAUCUUUUGGACAAAAACACAAAUGACCAAUGCUAAGUCUUUGUCUACUCCUAUGUCUUCUGAUCAUGUUCAUCUCUUCAUAACAGAGAAUUGUUGAUAAUUAUUUUAGGAUGCUUCCAUUUAUGAAAGAUUGUUAGUGCCUUGCAAUACUGCACUAUCAAAUGUCUUAAAUUGGUCUAUGUUAUCAACAAAAUUUGUCAAUUCAUGCAUGUUCCAACUAUUGGUAAGUUGUAAAAGGGUUUUAUAGCAUCUUAGAGGAACUUCUCUACAUGCUAUAUCCCUUACAACUUUUAACCUUUUCAAUCUUGUGAUAUUCACAAAUAUUGCUCGGGGAAGUUACCUAUGUGAUCAUCACAACACUAGUUGUUAUUGAGUUCUCUUUGGUGGUAAUCUUGUCUCUUAUUCCUCAAGUAAAGAGAAAGUAGUUUCCAAAUCAAGCAUUGAAAUUGAAUAUUGUGCAUGAGCUAAUGCUAUUGUGGAGCUCUCAUAGAUCUGGUUAGUUCUCAUUAAGCUCAAAGUUCCUUUGUGUACUAUUUUUACAUUAUUUUGUUAUGACCUUAACACCACCUAUUUGACUACUAAUUUUACGCUUCACUUUAAGGUGAAACAUGUUGAAAUUGAUUAUUACUUUGAACACCAAACGUAUCCUCACCAAAUCUUUAGAAAAUCCUUUUGUUCUAUCAAAAGAUCAACUUAGUGACACCAUGACUAAGUCUUUAUCCAUACAAAGGUUUCUCACUUUCUUCAAGCCAACCCUAUGAUACAUCCUUGUCAACUAACUCAAUGGUUAAAUAGUUAAAAUAUGAUUAUGUAAUUUAUGACAUGUAAAUUUUUUAGGUUCAAUUAAGCUAUAAGAAUCAGUUGCAACAAUCUUUCAGAAUUUUCUUAUUUAUUUUUUAUCUAGUUAAAUAAACCCCAAUGGUAGCUCUGUUCAUGCUGGAGAACAAAGUACCCAUUUUUUUUCCCUUAAGUUUGUUGAUGACCAACAACAGCUAAGCGAUUUAGCCAUUAGCUUUAAAUUUGGCACCAUUCCUACAAUAGAAGCUGAUCGGCCAACCGAAGUGGUUCAACACAGCCUUCAAUAAUAAAUAUAAGUUACUACUCUUGCUGGGCAGAAGCGUUUAUGGUCCUGGAAAGACGGUGUACUAUUUGAGUAGAUUAGGAAAGCGCUUAGCUGGACGGGAGCUUCAAGGGUUGAGCUUCUUUCAAUGUUACCGACCAGUGACGUUUAAGGCACAACACCAAGGCAGCUUUUACUUGUCUGUCACACUGGGCGGCUCUCUCAUUACAACCAUUUAUUAAUAUUUUUAACACCUUAAUUAAUUACCCUUCAUCUGCCCACCCCACCCCACCCCACCCAUCUCCAUUUUUUUUCCUUCAUUAUUAGUAUUAUUUUUAUAAAAGAAAGAGGCAAAAAAAAAAAAAAAACUGACAUUCAAUCAAUAUCGUCAAAUACAAAUGAAUGAAUAUGCACGUUUGGGACAACAAUUCUGUGGGGCAGCUAGUCCGUCCUCUUGUUGGUCCCACACAUUUACCCAUCUCGGGCGAUGAUGGGGUUGGUUGGAGCCUUUAGGAAUUGUCUGAUUCCAUUUGGGUGGUUGGAUCCUUCAUAUUUCUUUUCCUUCACUAAUUUCACUAGCGUUAAUCUCAAAUCUAUAUCAUGUGUCAACUUAAUUAAUUAAAAUUUAAUAGAAAUACGAAAGCAAAAGGUGAAUGGAAAAGGGUGGAAUAAAUUGAGUGAAACAAGAAAAGGAAGACGCGGAUGAGUAGCUUCCUUGUCAAAGAGGUUGGAGUUUGAAUCAAAUGUUGACAUGAAAGUACACAACUAAUCAAUGUUGAUUACCAAAUAACAAAUUAGGCUUGCCGACACAAGAAAGGAUGAGUAAUGGAAGGCACUUCGUACAAUCCCCGUUUAACCCUUCUUGUUUUGGGUGAGGAGAGUGGUCUUUUUCUAUUGGAAAGGUCGGGAGGUGUUGGAGGGGUAGAGGCUGGUUGGGGACUACGGCCCUAAGGGAAUUUACUUUGGCCUUUAGGGUCCACAUCCAUCAUUCCAUCACGGAAAAGGUGAAAUUGCCCAAUUACUUUCAAUGAAAUAAUGAAUUGAUGAUUGAGGGCUUUACACAUCCUCACGGACCUCACCAGUCACCACUACUAUUUCCUAAACCCAAAAGGGCGUGAAAGCCACCAAACAAGGUUCUACACUCCUAUUAUAAGACCAUCCUAAUGCCUCCAUUACUUAAUUCACAAUUUUACGUCUAUAUACAUGAAAUUAUCAUACUUGAUUGAUUUUUGGACAUCAAUUUUGCAAAGUGUUUUUUUCCCAUGUAAAGUUGAACUGAUAUUAUUGCUACCCAAAUAACAACACUAAUUAUUACUAGAAAUUUUGGAUCAAUUUAGAUUAGUCAAGAAAAAAAUUAUAAAGUUUGUGCGUGUUAGGCACCACCUAAAAUAAUACGAUACUUGGACCACCAUGUGUUGUAAGAUUACUUUUAUACGCUUAACAUCAUAAAAUUAUUUAUUUGUUUUUUUUAUGAUGCAUUGAUUUAUGAUAAGUAAUAAUUAAAUAUGAGUGGCUAAAACAUUAGAUUUAAUUUGGUUUGCAAACAUUUUUCUUAUUUUUAUUUUCUAAAAACGUUUUUAUCUUGUAUUUUAUUUGGUUUCGGGUUUUCAUUAACUUAAAAAGUUGUUAUAUUUUUUACAAUGUUUUUUAUUUAAUUUUAAAACAUUUAGAAAUAUAUUCUAAUAUAUUUAUAAUUAAUCAAAUAAAAUAUUAUAAUAUAAAAAAUAAAUCUAUUUAUUAAGCUAAUGCUGAGAAUAUUUUAUAUCAAGUAGGAAGCAUCCUAUCCUAUCCUUAUCGGGGCUUGACCAAAUGAGAAGGGGGGUUAAGAAAUUCCAUUUCCUAAUAUGUACAGGGAGGCAAGUCUGCUACUCCCAUCGUGCCUCCAUUUGAAAAUUGAAAAUAGGAACAAAAUAAAAUAUUUUUUCCAAGGGGGAAGUCCAACACAAAGAUGAAAGAUGUGUCCAAGAUCUUUCUCUAUUGCCAUUCUUAAUUACUGCUGUCUCAAAAGAAUAAUCUGUAUGAAUAAUGUGAGUGAUGAUUAUGAUAUUAUUUGGGUAAUGAGAUCAAUGGAACUUCCAUGACUGAAUGGAAAAAUCACGAAUUUUGUAUAUGAUAAGGGUAUGGGAUGGGAUUUGGGAGGCUUAGAACUUAAUGAAAGAGUGGAGGUGCAUGUGACAUUGUGACACACCGAGAAGAGAGCGAGUCGGGCGGUGGGGGGUGGUUUCCACUUUCCACUUGAUGAUGAUGACAAUAAAAUUUAAAAGAAAAAAGAAAAGAAAAUAAGAAGAAGGGUCAAAAGGGUCAGAUAGGAGGGGCAACACACAGGUGGGACAAAUCGGCGAGUGCUACCAGAAAAAGCAAGCCAAGAGAAAGUUGAAAAUGGCUUUUCACCGGCCUUCCCAAAUCCAAAAUCCCAAUGCCUCUCAAAACGUUCUCUCUAUACCAAUCAAAAAGCCCUGAACUUUCCCAGACACACACACACUUUCUCUCUCUUUCUCUCUCUCUCUCUUUCUCCUUCAUUUCUAAACGUAAAACCCCGCCCAACAAACCUCGCAACCAAAGGUUUCUCUCUACAUUCUGCAAUGGCUGUCAAGGGAAUCUUCUUCUCUUCCAUUUUCAUUGCCUCCAGUGAACAAAAUGCCCUUGGUCCGAAUGAGGUACCAUUUCGCCAUACCUUUGUAAAUCGAAGGUCGUUUUCGUGCAUUUUCAGAUGAGAGGCGUAAAAUGUAGUCUCUCUCUGUAAAUCCUCCCCCUCGUUGUGUGGUAAAAGGCAGACAGGAUGGAGCCAGGCAAUAUAUAUAUAUUUAUAUAUUUAUAUAUAAAGUUUUUUCUUUUUCACUCACAAAACUCUCACACCCCUUUUGUUAUUUCUGCUUCCUUUUUUUUUUUUUCCUUUCUAUUUUUGGGUUUUGGUUUUUCGUGUUUUCGUUUUUUGCGAGACUGUAAAAGAGGUGGAGGAGGAGCACACCACUCGUCAUCGAUAAUGGUUAUCGAUCGUCAUCCAUGGAAAUGCAAGGAGGAACACAGUGUAUGAAUGAAGCAUUUUGGUGGCUUCAUAUAUGUAUGUAUUUAGGGAUGUUGUGCCCUUAUAUAGUUAAUGAGAUGAUGAGAUGAUGAUGAUGAUGAUGUAUGCUUUUCUAAAUUUUCCAUUGAUUCAAAUGGGCAUAUGGAUAUAUAAAAAAUACAUAGUUCUUCUAUAUGUGGUUUUGCCCUUUCUGUUGGAUUUUGUUUUCUGUUUAUUUUUGGUUCAUGUGUUGCUGGUCAGGUGAGCAUUGUUAAAUCUGUGGGUUCUUUUUGCCAUUUUAUCUUACUCCUUUCCUUACUUGUUGAAGCAAAUGAAAGGGGCUUUUUGGGGGGAAAAGAAGCCACCUCAAAGUAAAGACUAUUCCAUUUUUGCCUUUACAAGCAUAUGAAAUUAGCGCAUUUGGUUGCUUCCAGCAUUUCAGAUGAUCCCUUCUUUUAUUUCCUUUUUUCCCCUUUGCUGGUCUCUUGUGAAAAAUGGGACAAAAAUGGAAAUGACAGAAUCUUCACAUUUUCCAUGUGUUUCUCUGAGAAAUGGGCUUCGAUUGUUGGGAGAAUGGUGCUUAUUUUGAUUUGUUAUUUUAUCUGCGUGUUUGUUGUUUGUUUCCAUCUAAAAUUUAAUUUUAGAUUAGAUCUUCUGAUUUGUAAAUAAAAAUUUUUGGAAGGCAUAAUUUUGUUGUUUUAGGCUUUUUUUUUUCCCUUACUCGUCUAUUUUAUUUUAUGGCAUUGUUUAUCCAGGAAGAUCUACUGUGACAUCUCCAAAUGAUGCCAAAAGAAAAAGUGAUAUGCUUUGAAUUUCCAACACAAUGCAUAUCCUGGUUCUGGUGAAUCAAGGCAUAUUCAUUGAAGGGGCACAAGUGACCCUGACCAAUAUCCUUAUUUCAUCUUUGCAUAGAAAUCUCCUUUUUUAUGGGUGUUCCAUGGGAUUGGGGGCAGGAGGAAUGUCUCUAGCUGUACAUGGUGAAUUGGGGUGGAGGCACCCGUUGGGUCAUCAUGAAGCAGCUUAGUGAUCCCUACAGGGGGUUGCCCUUAGACAAAUUGCUUUAACUGAUAUGGUUGUAUCUUUAUGACUUCAAGCUUUGAAUGGUGAUGGUGGAAAUGUUGUCUUUAACUUCAGCUACUGCAAAUUAGAUCUGUUCAUGCUUAUACCCAUUUGUUUACAAUUAGUACACUUCCCCAAAUUUCCACAGAUCAAAUUCUGCUUGUGAAGUGAUCAAAGUUCAAUCCAAAGUGGUAUUCUCAAGCCAUAUGAAUCUAAUUGGUUUUAUGGUUUUACACUUCUGUUGGCUUUAUUGAACUCCCCAGGAUGAAGUUCACCUGAUUGGUAUCAUGGUUUUAUACUUCUGCAGGCUUCAUUGAACUUCCAUGAAUGGAGUUCACUUUCAGCCUCACAGGAUGUCACCUUGAAAACUGUAAAACCUUGAAAUGUUGAGAGCUUUCAAGUUGAUCCCUGUUAUUACUAUCAACAUGAAAAGAGAAAUGGUCAUGCUCCAGUUCAAGGGAUGACAUCCUCUGAAAAGCAAAAAGCCACUUCUGGAUUUUAUUUUUGUCUUUUAUCAUCUAUCCGGAGGUUUGACUAGAUUUUCCCAAGCAUAAAGCCUUCAUGACUGGCAAACAACUAUCAAAUGAGGCUAAUACCAUUCAGGAUUUCUUGAAUGAAUCAUAGAUGAUCAAAUUUUGUUUUUCAUGAUUCAAUAUAUAGGAACCUUCAUAGCCAUGUGUUUUAUUAUGGCAAAGAUCAAAAUUAACUGACUCAACCGGAACCAUUCCUGAAUAUAUGCUUUUGCCAAAAUGAAUGUUCUAGAGAGGUGCCUACUGUGAUGAAUUAAAUAUUAUGCUAGCAUUUUCUGUAUGCUUGUGAUCUCAUAGCAAGACCCAUGUGAUGGAGCUACAUGUUAAUUUUUCCAAUUUUGAUGUGCAUUUACCUGGGUUGUGCACGUAGCUUCAUUUCUACUUGAUUAUAUAGUAGAGAAGUGUGUUGAGACAGGAAGGAUAAUGAAGUGCUUCAACCAUGCUAUAUCCGCUUGUCCAGAACGAAAAAAAACAUAUAAUUGCAUCUGAAGACAUCAAGUAUACUGACCCCUUCUUGCUCCUUCGCCACUAUCAAACGUUGUCAUCACUGUGCUAUGUCUCAACCACCUUUUGGCUGGUUUGUUUAUAUUGUUCAGACUUCCUUAGGGUUGGGAGUUUGUGAUCUUGUUAGCACCAUUCCUUUUUUCUUCUUGUUUGUGUGCAACUAUAUAUAUAUACACACACACACACAUACAUGUGUGUAUGUAUAAGUUCUUAGCCAUUUCCUUUUUAUUCUUUCCUUACAUCAAUAAUAUUUUCUUUUAUUGAAUUCAUUUUAGGGCUGCACAGGCUUUGUGUUAAGCAAUCUUAUGCAUAUUAGUGUCUGCUUCUUAAAAAUAUAUAUAUAUUUCAUAAGUUUUGUUCUGUUAUGUAACGAAAAUUGGUUUUUUUGUUUUGUUUUGUUUUGUUUUGUUUUAUUUGAGAUGCAAGUGUUUCCAUCAUCUAAGGUGUACUUGUUAGACAAAAAUGAUGUACUUCAGAAUCCUGUGCAGUGAUUUCCCCCUGUUGCUAUCUUUUACUACCCAUUAACAAUCCUAGUCUGCCAAGAAAUGACACACAUUAUAACUAUUGAUACCUCUGGUUCCAACACGCUACUCUGAAUGGUUUAAAUGCAUGUUUCAUCUACACAUGACUCUCUGAGUCUCUCUGUACUGGUGGCAUCUUUAACUAUUUUGUUUUGUUUUUUUUAGCGUAUAUUUAUUUCUUUUCAUAUGUUUGGGAUUUUGCAAUUGCUUGAAUGUGUGGACUAGAACUAGAACAUCUCUGUGCUGUGUCAUUGGGCUGAGCUCAAUGUAAUUCUUUAACAUUUCCCCCAAUUCACAGGACAUGGUACCUGGUGUUGCCUUGGGUAUGAUUGCAUAGAUAUUCUUAUGAAGCCACAGUAAUGUGAUAUCUCAUGUAUAGUUAGUUUGAGUGGUUGAUGAUAUUUGUGCAUGAUGACAGAAGUUAACUCCAUUUGAUUUAUUAUGAUCUUAUGAUGAGAUUAACAAGUUCCACUUCACCAACCAACCCGUCAUGAGAUUUCAUGUUUCAGCUCAUCACCUCUACAAACAGGAUGAUCGAGAAUCUUUCUGGCAAGGCAGUCUAUGCUCAAGCUUGGUGAUCAACAAUUUUAACCCCUUGCAUAUAUUAUGGCCAUUGACAAGGAUUAAAGUUUCGCAAAAUGUGGCCAUUAUCACCAAAAGUACGGUGUAUUAGCCAAGCCCCAUACGAAAAAGGGGUGAAGAUCUCGGUUGAUUGAAAAUAUUUUGCUUCCGCACGCCAAAUCCUAUUGAAUGAAUUAGUUUUAAUUAUCUUAUUUUCAAAUUUUUGGAUAUUUUCAUAAAAUACAAUUACCAAUAUUUUUAAAAUUUUAACCCUUGGAGGCCACACUGCUCCCUAAUGCAGGCGAUGGAACUCUAAUUAUUAGAACACUAUUCUUUUGAUAUCAUUUGGUCUGGGGUGAGUCGAAAGUUGGAAUUCAGUUUGUGGGUUAUAACUUAUAUGAAAGGAUAAGAAGGCCCAAUUCUAGGCUCUCUAUUUUUAUAAAUUUCAAGAUAAUCCAUCCUGGGCCGAGCCCGUACCCGCCUCUGCGUCCUACCUGAGGCUAGUGAUACAAGCGUCGGACCUACUUGAUUGACAGCCCACCUAUCCAACAACAAUGCAUGUGCCCUGGUCAUCCAUCUACAAUAAUGCGCCCUCCUACCUCCUCGUUCUCGAUCUUACCCUUCCACUUAUAGCCAACGCUCAGUUGGAGGUUUAAUGGCAAUGAUGCAAUUUCGUAAUAACUCCCGCCUGUUUUAAUAACAAAAUUAAAAGCAGGCGGGAUAAUUAGCCAUUUAAAAAAUUUGCGAGUGGUUGCGUUAGCCAGCUGGAAACCGCGGUCAACUUAACCGGGGUUAACGGCAGAUCUUUUCCACAUCUUUUCCAUCUCUCUUUGCGCCGCUGCUCUAUAUAAAGCAAAGCAUCACCAGAUUCACCACAGAUACGCAGCCAAGGGCGUCUUGAUAAACGCCGAUCAUCCUUCGCAUUUGCUUUGAAUUUUCUCCCCUCCAUCUGCAGCAAAAAUGAGAGAGUGCAUUUCCAUUCACAUUGGUCAGGCCGGUAUUCAGGUUGGCAAUGCGUGCUGGGAACUUUACUGCCUCGAGCAUGGCAUUCAGGUAAUUAAUUGAAAAUUUUGUUUGUCGAUUCUCUGGUUUCUGUUUUUAAAUGCUCCUGCUUUUUUUGAAUUUUUUCAUUUCCAUAUUUCACCAGAUCCAGAUUUUGUGUAUUGUGCGCAUUUGUGAACAGAUACUGCCAUAAUUUUUCUAUGGACUAAUGGAUGACGUUUUGUUGUAAUUAGAUCUUUCUAUAUUCUUCCAAGUUUAUGCUUCGAUUAUAUGGUCUGACGCUUCCACCUGAUUCGUUUUUGAAUUUGUAUCUUUAUUAUAUCCAGAUCUGCAAAGAAAUCUUAAUUUUUGUCUUAUAGUUUCAUAUUUACCAGAUCCAGGGUUUUCCGCUUUCUGUAAUUUGCGUUAACAGGAAGUAAACACCAUUGCUGAAUAACGUUUACAUGCUAGGGUCGAGCAGACUAUGUCAUUUUAUCAUUUUGAUUUCAGAAUUUGUUACAUGUUCCACAUGUGUUACUAGAUCUAAAUUUUAUUUUAUACUGGCACUGGUAUAACUGAUCUAAUGACUAGGGUUUAAUUGUGAUUAUCUCAUAUUUUUUAGGGCUCUUCCAUGUUUAAGACAGAAUCGUUGUUUUCUGACAUGUUUCAGAUAUUUCCACUAUAUCUGGUGUUGAACAUCGUGGAUCUACAAAGAAAUGUUAAUUUGAGUCCUUGAAUUCUUAUUGCUGCAUUGUGACCUAGUUUUACCAAUCUAGAAUAAAAGUGGGUGUUUCAUGGUGUUAGGGUCACAUCAUUCAAUCAUUCAGAUCUUAGAAUUCCUCCUAGAUAGAAAGUGGAAUUGCUUUUAUUUUUGUAUAGUGAUUGCAAUAGUAGAUUACUGAUUUAAAUUUUGUGUGCUGCUCUCUCCUCUGUAUAUGUUAGAAAAUUGUAUAUAACAUUUUCUGUAAUUCACUUUUCUGAAAAUCUUUUCCCUUUGCUCAGCCUGAUGGCCAGAUGCCAAGUGAUAAGACUGUUGGCGGAGGAGAUGACGCAUUCAACACCUUUUUCAGUGAAACUGGUGCUGGGAAGCAUGUCCCUCGUGCCGUUUUUGUAGAUCUCGAGCCCACCGUGAUUGAUGAAGUGAGGACUGGAGCAUACCGACAGCUCUUCCACCCAGAACAACUCAUCAGUGGCAAGGAGGAUGCAGCUAACAACUUUGCCCGUGGCCAUUACACCAGUAAUUAGCACAUGUUCCUCCUCUUUUUAUGCUUAAAGUUUCAGGUUUACCUUAAUUUUAAUGAUUGUGUGUUGGGUUUGUACCAGUUGGGAAAGAGAUUGUUGACCUCUGUUUGGACCGUAUCAGAAAGCUUGCCGACAACUGCACUGGUCUUCAGGGUUUCCUGGUCUUCAAUGCUGUUGGAGGUGGAACUGGUUCUGGCCUUGGGUCUCUUUUGUUGGAGCGACUAUCUGUUGACUACGGCAAAAAGUCAAAGCUUGGAUUCACUGUUUACCCCUCCCCUCAGGUUUCAACAUCUGUUGUUGAGCCCUAUAACAGUGUCCUUUCAACCCACUCCCUGCUUGAGCACACUGAUGUAGCUGUGCUUCUGGACAAUGAAGCAAUCUAUGACAUUUGCAGGCGAUCCCUUGACAUUGAGCGCCCAACCUACACCAAUCUCAAUCGCCUGGUGUCUCAAGUAAGAAACCUUUCCUUUUAACUAAUUGAUAUCUUAUUGUGAAUUACCUUGAUUGAUGUGUUUGCUAAUCUCGGGCCUAAUACAGGUGAUUUCAUCACUCACUGCCUCAUUGAGAUUUGAUGGUGCCUUGAAUGUGGAUGUGACUGAAUUCCAGACCAACCUGGUUCCUUACCCAAGGAUUCACUUUAUGCUUUCUUCAUAUGCCCCCGUCAUUUCCGCUGAGAAGGCAUAUCAUGAGCAGCUCUCUGUGGCGGAGAUCACCAACAGUGCCUUUGAGCCCUCGUCUAUGAUGGCCAAAUGUGACCCACGCCAUGGCAAGUACAUGGCAUGCUGCCUGAUGUACCGAGGUGAUGUGGUGCCCAAGGACGUGAAUGCAGCUGUAGCCACCAUCAAGACCAAGCGCACUAUCCAGUUUGUUGACUGGUGCCCUACUGGAUUCAAGUGUGGUAUCAACUACCAGCCACCAACUGUUGUUCCAGGAGGUGACCUUGCCAAGGUGCAGAGGGCUGUUUGCAUGAUCUCUAACUCAACCAGUGUUGCCGAAGUGUUCUCGCGCAUUGACAACAAAUUUGAUCUUAUGUAUUCUAAGCGUGCUUUUGUCCACUGGUAUGUUGGUGAGGGCAUGGAGGAAGGAGAGUUCUCUGAAGCUCGUGAGGAUCUUGCUGCCCUGGAGAAGGAUUAUGAGGAAGUUGGUGCAGAGUCUGCUGAGGGGGAUGAAGGUGACGAAGGAGAUGAAUAUUGAUUGAGGGUUGUGUUGGCUUUCAUUUGUGCAUGCUGUUAUGAUGUUUCGUUUCUAUGGUUGGUUUUUCUUAAAGUUGCUGCUAUCAUUGUAUGUUCAUUUCCUGUUUUCUUUGUUGAGACAACUUAUUAGUGUUGGGCGCUCUGGUUGUUUCACGUAAUUAAUGCCUGAGCAGUGGGGUAAUAUUCUCCUACGUGUAAGCAACUUGCAAGGUGCCAUUUUCGUUAAAUAUUAGGGAUAACGUUGCAGAUGAAACUUCCUCGAGAACGAACCAAAAACAGACCCGGUUUGAGAUGUGAGAAUUGACUGCACCGAUGAGUCCGUCAAUGCUUCAUGGUCAAACCGGAUCAGUCGCAUUUUCGUUGUUAGGAUUGAACCGCCUCGGACCGGGUGACCUGGCCAGGCUGGUUUUGCCUGGGUCCGCAAGGGGUAUUUUUUUAAUUCGCCCGAUCAGUUUUUAUACUUCAUUUAAUAUUUUAAUUAUAGUGUGUAUAUAUGUAUAUUAUGCUAUUUUAAAAUUUGUAAAACAAAUACAAAUGUUUAUUUGCAUUCAAAAUAGAACUUUAAAUCAUAAUAUUAAACUUACUCAAAAUAUACAUACAUAUAAAAGUAAAUGAACAUGUAUACAAAUGAAAAUACAAAAUAAAAAGUUGACAUCAUCUUUGAUCAUGAUUGAAUCACUGAUCCAACCAAUAAUAAACCCUGAUCCAAAUUCAAUCUGGUUUUUAAAAACAGUAGUUGUGAUUUUUGUAUGAGAACUUUUUAUUCAUUCUAUAAACUCUCCUUUUUAUCCCCCAAGAAUGGAGUGUAGGCGUUAGGUUUACUCCAAGGUCAAUACGUAGAUUUUGUGUGCACUACCCUUAUUUCGGUCUUGGCUUGUGUGAGAACCGGUGUGUAUUUUGCUUUCCCUUCAACAAAUCGACAACGGUUCGAGAGACGUAGCCAGCAGAGGCACCCAUGAUGCUGGUUCCAGAGCUCAAGUUUACCGGCUGAAGCCCUUAAUUCCCAUUUUUUGAUGUGAUUUACAAUCAACCAUCUGCGCGUGAAUCAGCAAAGAAAGGCAAAGGGUGGUUGAAGACAACCGAUUGGAAUUUGAAACCUCGUUUAAACAUACCCACUGAUCCAAACACGUUAUACCUAAAAUACACCUUUACUCUUCUAUCUCUUCUCCACCCUUCUUUUUCCCAUAAAAAACUCUAACCUUGUAGAUGAAAUAGGAAUAGACAAAGUUUUGAAUGCAAAUAGUGAAAAAGAGAGGUUUGAAUAUAAAAAACUUAACAAAUAAAAACAAUUAUACAUGUUCAAGGUUCAAUGCAAUCCCAAAUUAUAAUGUUAAAUGUUUGAAAGUAUAGUUUCGAAUAUUAUGCCAUGAAUAGUGUUUGGAUCAGUCCUCCUUCAAUAUAAAUUUCGAAAAUUUAAAGAUAAAAUACAAAAAAAAAAAAGUUUCAAAAACUACAUUUAUGAUACUAAUAUCCUUUAUCAAAUAGGAGAAAAAAAAUUUUGACACUCUAUGCAUGUAUGGGGUUUAUUUGGCUUUGUAGAAGUUACUUGUUUGAGACACAACAAAAUCGUUAUGCCUUAUAAUAUCCCACAUUGAAUACACAAAAAAAAAAAUUCUAAUUUUAUACAUAUAGACUUCUCAUCUUAUGAUAGCCCACAUUGAACAUAGAAAAAGAAUUUCUAACAUUAUAUAUGUGCCGUAAUUUAAAAUCAUGAAGGUAACUUUGAUUCAAAAGAAACAAUAUUUAUAUGGUCCUUACAAUACUUCUUUCCUUUCAAAAUGAAGAGAAUGAUUUGCUUAUUCAUUUUUUCAUUAACACAGUUUUUCACCAAGUUUGUCGUAGAAUUGGGUUGUACCAAAGAGGAAAAAGGGAAUGGGGUGUAUAUAAAUGUGUAAAACAAUCUUUUCAGUAUAAGGUAAUUGUGUCACAAAAGUUUAUAACUUAGACCGACAGAUUUAAAUCUUUCCUUCAAAUUUUUCCCCUUCCCCUUCAAACUUUCAUAAAGAAUCAAUGUAGCCAUAGUAGCACCCAAAUAAUUAAGUCGAAUCCCCAGUUUGGAAAGAUAAUGAUUGAUUCACAAUCUAGUGCUUCGUCCAACAAUUUAUCUUGUUUGCACCUGGUAGCAACCUUCAUGGAAAACAACAAACAAAAAGCAAUAUGAACAAGCAAAUGAUUCCCAUCUCUCCCAAUUAUUGUAUGCAAAUAUAGCUUCAUUGUCGUUCUAUAAGCAAUAGCAGAAUCAACACCAAAAUGGAUGGUAUAUUUAAAUUUAUUGGCUAACUAAUAAAGGGGUCCAUGGACAUGGACUACAGCUACCAUCUCCUUUCCUAAGUCUUGAACCUUUAGACACGGCACUUGCUAUGAUGUUUAGGCCCGACCCAACUUUUGGACAAGGUGCUUCUCAAUUUCCAUUCUCUUCUUCAUCAACAAGCCAUACUUGGAGACCAGUGGUUUGUCUCCAGCAGUGACCGCAAGCUUGCAGCUGAGAGAUGUCUUUUCCAACUUGUCCUUGUACAAGCACGAGGUAGGCACGAACUUGCCCCUUGUGUUGCACAGCCAACCAUGAGCAGCCCGCAAAGCAGCACCAAGGGAAGCGGAAUCUAUCAAGAAAAACAUAUAUUAUUUGUGUAAUAUUAUAAACAAGGGAUAACACAUAAGGAAAUGGGAAAGGAAACGCCAUUAUGUAAUCCUUUACUCACCGGGUCUUUGGACUGUAUACACAUCGCAGCCAAAAAUGGAAGCUAUUGACUUGAGAAUGCUAUGAUUUGCUGAUGCUCCACCAGUUGCUAUUAUCCGUUUUGGAGGAGAAGGCAUUCCAAAUCUUUCUGCAUGACCUCGCAUGGAGAGAAAUUGGCCCUCAAUCACUGCCCGGACCUGCACUUGAUUAGAAAUGAGUACUCGUCCGGUGUCAUAUCAGCCUCAGGGAAAUGGAUUACAGACACAAGAGAACUAACCUCAGAAGAUGGAUCAAAUUCCUCCACUUCACAUUCAUUUAUCCCAUCCAAAUUCUCACCUGUGAAGCCUUGAAGAACAUAACGAUGGAAACCAACUGCAAUGCACAAACAACUUUCAAGUUCAAUCAUUCAAUUGUUCUUCUGAUGAUAAAUGAAAAGUGAUAUGCAGUCAUUGAUAUCUGCAUAAUUAAGCCUCAUCUCAACCAUGUUAGUAUACAAGAUAAGAAAAUGGAUGGCCCUGACAUCCAUGGCUGCCACCACUUGGACACAUCAAGUAUUUGGAACCUAAGCAUUUGAAUUCUCCAUUGGUCCAUUUGGCAAUUUCUGGGGAUUGAAUGGACCUUCAAACCUUAGACAUGUUGCAUACCUUGGUAUGGGUAGUUUACAGGAAAAUCUUGAAUGUAGAUGCCUAAUCCAAGAACUACUCACAAGAGAUGACAGCGCACACAAUUUGUUCUUAAAUGAUCCAUGAGAAGUUUUUGACAGACCAAAAGAAUGGUGAUUUUAGGAAUUAUAGUGGUGAGUUCAUUUGAGGACACCAAAGGGGGGCCUGAUUUAUGUAAUAGUAUAGAUAUAGGCAAGAAAAAUUUGGCAAAUAUGUUGCCAGACCACCAUUUCAAAAUAAUUUAAAACAAAACCAAAAAACCAACCUGGGAGAGGAGGAAGGAUUUCAUGAUCCUUGUAGUAGAAACCGAUCUUUCCACCUGUCACAUAACUGAAUAAGAAACUAGAAAACAGCUAUAGCUAUGUAUCUAAGUUUGUUUUUUCUUUCCAUAAAGGAACAUCACAAACCAUUUAGGGGUGGUGUUUUCUCCAGAAAUUCAUUAAAAACUUCCCAAGAUUCCUUUGCACACCGGUUACGCACAUCUGAUAUAAAGGUUGAAAUUAUACUGUCAAAAUAGGAAUUACUAAAUAUUUACUUUAUCAAAGUACACAGAAUCAUUUAUCAGACAUGAGCAGUACCUUCACGAGUCAGAGACCCAUUCUUAUAGCACAACAUUACCAUAUAGCCUUCUGUAUCAACAGGGUUAGGAAAAACAUGUCCUUCUAAGCUAGGCUGAGGGUUGCUAGUUAUCCCAAAUACCUAAGCAAUCAGCAAAAGAAUGAUACAAGUAAAAUAAUCUGUAAACAUCUGGAUAGAGAUAUAAAUCACUUCUUUAAGAGGGAACAAUGAUUGAAUUUCUGAUUAUGGUGCUUGUAAGAUGCAAUAUCAAAUUUAAAAAAUAGCAAAUAAGAGAUACUUUAGUUGGAUGCCCCAAAUAGGUCUAUUCAACGAACACUAAUGACUGCUCAAGCUCCAUUUGUUAGGUAGCGCAUUUGACCUUGUUCACCAGCUUCAACAAGCCAAAAUCAUGUUCAGGCUGCUUAACAAAUCAAGCUUGAGCUACAGUAUUCGAAAAUGCAUUACAAUAAAGUGAUGCUUACAAGACUUUCAAAUGCCUAGGCAACUGUACACACAAUAUAAUCCUCCUCUAUGUCUAUAAGUGGUCUUGAGAUUCACUCCAAGAGCACUAAACACUUAGGCAGGCAUUCCAUUAACCAGUGGGCCUAGAACAUACAGAGAUAUUGGACUUGAACCCAAUGUCCCAAAAUGGACUAAUUGGUUAGCAAACUCUAGAGCCAAACUGAAGAUGCUCGACUUAUCUUUCACCCUCUCAGAUUAAAACCUGUCCUAAUCUCAUUUAGCAUCAUGAAUGACUUGAGGUAGGCAUCUUGAAGCUUUAGUAACAUAGUUCAUUUGAGAAAUUUUCCCAAGAAAACACAAGAAGCAACUUAUGUACUAUAAAGCCGGCAAUGCACGGGGAAGAAUUAAGUGAGUUUUAGGACUAUUUGCCCUUGCUAAUACAGGAUCAUGUGUAGGAUUUGAAAAUGAUGAUGCGCGCUUUGUGGUGUAAUCAAAAAGCCAUUAUAAUUGGAACCCAUAUACUUGACAGAUAACAGGAUGUCAAACUAAUAAUCUUGGACCAUCCAUAACCUAAGCUACAGCUUUCUACAAUGGGCUGUAUAUGCUAAACAUUUCCAGACAUGUCAAUUAAGAGGGAACUCAUCUUUUUAAAUGAUAAUGACUAACAAUCUCCAAAAUCUCAGAUGACCCUGUGGUACCAUACAUGAUAUUGAACAACAAAACAACAUAAAAUAGACUGGCAUCAGGAACUAUAAAUCUUGAACUUAAAAAAGUAACUUAGCUGUUUGCAUCCCUGAUUUGGUUGAUGAGAAAUGGCUGAGCCUAUUUUUAAAAUGUGCAGAAGAUGGGUUGUGGAUAUUUGGUGUUCCUUACUUUAUUUUGUCCACUGUCAGAAAGGAAAGAAAUAAGGAGUUGAACCACUGAACCUGGCUGACUCAGUCCUAAAUUGGACUCUUAAAUGCCAAUCUUGACCCAAGCAAGUUGUAGGCCACUGAAUUGAUCAUUUCAUGUUAAAAGGAUGAUAGUUUUAGUGGAUUUAAAAAGCAUAUAGAAGAUAAUUUUAUAAUCAGAUCUCCCAGAAGGUCCAUAUAUAGACACAGAGAUCAACCAAUGCUAAGGAAAAGUCACCAAGGCUGGUCAAUAAACAUGUACAACUAGUACAUUCCAAAAGAACUGUUGACAUAUUUAUUGUUGGCCAUAAACCUCCUUUGUAUUUUUAUUUUUUUUUUAUAAUUCAUUCGAGUCUGCUAUUUUUGAUCUGAAGAAAGUAACCAAAAAGAAAAAAAAAAUAGAAGUUGCUAACUUGAUAUCGAAUUAUGAUAAGAAAGAAUUCAUUGCAAUCGAUAGACUAAUAGUAAAUAAUAAAUAAUAGAACGAUUCUAACUAUAACCAUAUUUCUAAUCCCAGUACACUAUUUAAUUUAAAUGUCUUGUAUGAUACUGUUGCACUAAACUAACAUUUACAUUUAGGUUUUCCCUCAAUUAUUAGUUUAAUUUGAGUAUGAAAUUGGAGUUUCAUUGAGGUGAAAUCCACUUCUAUUCUUUCUCUUACUCAUCCAUUACAAAAUUCUAAAAAAGAGAGAAGAAAAGGAGGGGCCAAGGAAUUAGUCACAAAUAUUUGAUUGUAUCUCCCAAACUCUCCAUCCCUUCUCAUGUCAAUCAAAAAAGGGAAUGUCAACACAUCCGGGUAUAUAUGAUUAAUCUUUAUCAAUAGACUUGCUAAGACCAAAAUCAUAUGGUACUAAAACCAAUGCUGAGGAAGAUUUACAAAGGCUGAACAAUAAAAAAAAUUUACUUUAACUUACAGUGUCACUGGUGCCAAGACUAAUUGCCAGAUCCCCUGGAGUAUUGAGGGUCAAACCUGAGAAUUCAAAAGUCAAAACGAAUUAAUUAUCUGAGAUAAUACAAGGCUAGAAAUAUGAUUAUUAUGGUGGUUCGUUCUUCAUGCUGAGAGUAAAACUUCAAGAGGGAAAAAAAAGAAAUAAAUUAGAGGCUCCAUCAUAUUUACAAAGGAUUAAAUGGACUGUUGGGCUGAAACUGGAGAGAAAAUCCAGUAACAUGAGAAAAUACUUUAUUACUAAGCUAUGAAAUGAAGGUGAUUUAUGAAUGAUAUAAGAUAGAGGACUGAUAUACAUUAUAAUGUGAGAACACGACAAGCUGGAACUAUGGAAAACUACAUAAAUUGCAUUGAACAAUCAUAAAAACACAGGCAAAGAAGUGAAACACAGAUACUAAUGAAUUUGCUAAGGAGAGAAUAUAUUUUGGUUAGAGAUGAAGACAAUCAUGCACCUGCUAGGCUAUUAGGGUUGUCUCCAGACCACUGAACAAUCAAACAAUUCUUGUUAAAGUGGAACCUGAAAGAAGUUUAAUGCAGUCUUUACCUGUCAGUCUCAGUAUACCAGGAUAGCAAGACAUACGAUGUGUACAUGCAGAUAAUAAUUGAUUGUUAGAAAAACAUCAUUAUCAACACUCAUUUCAAAAUAAAAGUAGUGUAUAUAUAACAAAGUUCUGAAUAAUAGCUGUUGCCUUUGAAUUUCAUAUGAUAUCAUUAACUUUUCUUCGUAUCGACUUUCAAUAUCAUCGACCGUAUUCUUUAUCAAGGGCUGCAUGUUUACACUUUACACACACUACCAUCUUCCAAUACCAUAAGUGGUGGUGUAAUGGUUUCCAAUGUUCAGUAAGUGACUGAAAUUGCCUUUGUUUUUUUUUUUGAUAGAUAAACAACAAAAUAUAUUAAAAAAUGCUAAAAAGUUGCACGUAUACAGGGGGUAUACACAUAAGCCCAAAACAAGGAAUUGAAAGAAGAGAGGGGAGAAACCUCGCCCACCCUCAAGUGGCCGCAAGCCACUCCAAAAAGCCUAAGAGAGAAUAGGUUUCCUCUCCAAUGUACACCCUAGCCCAACUCCACAAGUUACAUACAAAAUUUUUUUUGAAUCUCUGAAUAUCUAACGACCCCCCCUGAAAGCUAACCUAUUCCUUUCCUUCCAAACCGUCCAAAAUAUGCACAACGAGAUGGAAUUCCAUAUCUUUUUUUUUUCCCCACAAAAGAACCCCUCCAACUAAGUAACACCUCUUUAACUGACUCUGGGAACACCAACUGAACUCCAAAAAUGGCGAGGGCAAACUCCCAAAGAGUCUUAACCACUGUACAAUGUAAAAGAAUGUGAUUCGCAUUUUCCUCUUCACAGCCACACAAAAAACACCGGUUAGGAAGCUGCCACCCCCUUCUUUGAAGCUUAUCUAAGGUGAGGAUCUUCCCCCACGAAGCUUCCCAAGCAAAAAAAGACACUUUUGUUGGGACCUUAUCCAUCCAAAUGCGUCUAUUAGGGAAGGCACAGGCUGAGGAGCCAAUCAGCAUUUUGUAAGCACCCUUAACCCCAAAAACAUCAUUGCCUUCCCCUUUCCAUCUCACUGAAUCCUCAUCAGGAGAAGUCCUGAAGUCCCUCAGCAGAUUCAGCAUAUCUCCUAUCUGAUCCAACUCCCAAUCAUUGAAAUCUCUAGCCAAACUGAGAUUCCAACCUCCUUGACCCAUGCUAGAGUCCCACACUUCACUUACUUUGGCAUUCCUAUGACCCGCCAAGGUAAACAGCUGUGGAAAAGUUUGUGAUAACGCCUCAUUACCACACCACUUAUCCGUCCAGAACAAAACUCUAGUCCCCUUCCCUACCUUAAAUUCAAUGCUCUCCCAGCACCAAUUAGCCUCCUUCAUGAUCUCCUUCCACAAUCCCACUCCAAAAGACCCACAAACUUCCUUAGUCCUCCACCCACACCCCUCUUGACCAUAUUUCACCCCUAUCACCGUUUUCCAAAGGUUAUCCUUCUCAUAGGCAUAUCUCCAUACCCAUUUGCCCAGCAAGGCUUUGUUCAACAAGUCUCUCUUUCGGAUGCCUAAUCCACCCUCCUCCUUUGGGCUGCAGACCACCUUCCAAUUAAUUAAGUGAGCUUUCCCCUCCAAGCUUCCCCCCCCUAAAGGAAGUCUCUUUGGGAUCUUUGUUAAGAUCUUACUUCAUUUCUUAUUAAGAAAAACAAUCAUUUUUCUAGUUGAAAGGAUUGGGCACUAGUUCUUUUCCCUCCGUUCACUGGCUUGCAUAUACUUUAAAGUACAUGAAAGAAUUAACAUAUGAUGUUGGAUCUAAGAAUAAAUUCACAGGAUAAUAAAAUUCCUAACCCAUAUUUCAAUCAUGGAAGCUCAAAUAUAUAUAUAUAUAGGUUGAUUAAGACAAACAUAACUCACUUUAAAAAUUGAUAAGAAAGCUUAUCCAAUUGAAUGAGAUAUAGUUGCAAACUUUUACUUAGUAGGAGUAAUAAUGAUAAUAAUUAAUAAUCAAAGGAAUUGUUGUUUUACAAUCAGUAUGCUACUCACCUCUCCACAAAAUAGGGGGCAAUAAAACCUGCAACAGCAUGGGCAGGAGCUAACUUUCCAAGUUUUUCCUCCAGACUUGGUGCAGUGGCCUAUAAUAAACAUAAAAGCUCUCAAUUAAAAAAAAAAACUAUAAAGCAAUUGAACAAAAAACUAUAAAGCAAUUGAACAAAAAACUGUAAAGCACUUUAACAAAAAACUGUAAAGCAAAGUUUCAGAUAAGUCUACCGGUGCUUUUGGAAGCCACUGUCACAGAUGAUAAAAUUCAAAACAGUCACAUUUAGUUGAUUUGGAUCAAUCUCAUGGACCCACAGAUCAAGCCUAUGUACUUUGGAAGGUAUGUUAAACAGAACAAUAAUUCACUUUGAUGAGAUUGAUCAUAAAAAAAUAAACCAUUAUGCACAUAAGACUUCGGAAUGUAUGUAAGACACUCUAAUUGAACAUGGAUAACGACUAUAUGUAAAACAAUCUAACUGGACAUGAAUAAUGAGCAUGGUCCAUAAAUAAUACACCAUGAUAUUUCAAAGUAUGAGAAACAGAC